rnacentral:rRNA from 1 species
CAGUCGCCGCGGUAAAACGAAGGGUGCAAGCGUUAAUCGGAAUUACUGGGCGUAAAGCGUGCGUAGGCGGUGAGUUAAGUCUGCUGUGAAAUCCCCGGGCUCAACCUGGGAAUGGCAGUGGAUACUGGCUCGCUAGAGUGUGUCAGAGGAUGGUGGAAUUCCCGGUGUAGCGGUGAAAUGCGUAGAGAUCGGAAAGAACAUCUGUGGCGAAGGCGACUAUCUGGGCCAACACUGACACUGAGGCACGAAAGCGUGGGGAGCAAAUAGGAUUAGAUACCCCCGUAGUCCCUGUCUCUUAUAC